GAGAAUAUGUGAGUAUGUGUUUGGUGUGGGUGAAGGAAAUUUGAUUGGAGUCUUAUGUAAAUCUUCCCAUAUUCUUAAUGACUAUAAAGUAUAUUUUAUAUUAUUUUAUAUUAAAUGAAGUAACAAACACAUAUGCAAUUUGAGAACGGCAUGAAGGUGGGGAGCUGAGGGUGUCGGGAUUCCGUAAGAUGUGGAACCAGGAAGAGUGGCAGCAUUGCAGGAAUGUUUCCCAUGCAAUUGGAGAUCUGUCGUCCUGAAUUCAAAGUCAGGUCAAUCAGUGAGGUGAUGUGGUUUUCUCCAGCAAAAUUUAACUUCCGGGGUCUGGACGGCGUAGCUAGAGACACAGAUUAGUGGAUGUGGGCCUCGAUCAGGCAAAAACAAUGGGAGGGGGUGUGGGAAGGGGCAAAGGAGCUAAGGGUAUUUUAAGGAAAUGAGCCUAGUAAUGAAGCAAAGCCUCUGAGCUGGGUGAGGAGGAGAGUGGGGUGCACAUGGGGUACUGCGAGAAACUGGUAGAAACUGUUCCAACGAGUGCACUAGUAGGUGGCAGGAGGUGACAGCCAGCGAGUGGCUUGGAUACAGUGUCACCUGGGUGCAGCUGUUAGGACAGCAAGGUCCAGGGCAUGACCACAGAAAUGUGUACUUUACCAGACAGAGGAUUGGAUUAUCGGAAGUGUAAGAGGUGACUUGAAUGGCACACGUAGGUAUUCAUGUAUUUUUGCAUAAUAAUGAAAUUGAAGAAAAGGAAGACAGUGAGGUAGGAACGCGAGUCAUCGACGAGUAAGUGGGAUAAUGAGGUCCUUGACCUCUAGGGAUGUUCAACUGCUUGAGUGUGGCUCACUGCCUGGAGAAAGAAGCGAGUUAGCGACGGAUGGGGCUACAGCAGGUAAGAGGGAUGAGGAAGAGGAGAGAGGAAGGGGCUAUGAAGUGGAAAUGGUGCCACUUCUGCCUCCAGCAGUGGUGGUGAUGGUGGUGGUGGACUGAAGGCGGUGUUGUGCAAGGGUUAAUCCUUGGGCUGGUGCUGUGGCUCACUAGGCUUAUCCUCUGCCUGUGGCGCUGGUACUCCAGGUUCUAGUUCUGGUUGGGGCGCCGGGUUCUGUCCCAGUUGCUCCUCUUCCAGUCCAGCUCUCUGCUGUGGCCCAGGAAGGCAGUGGAGGAUGGACCAAGUGCUUGGGCCCUGUACCUGCAUGGGAGACCAGGAAGAAGCACCUGGCUCCUGGCUUGAUCAGCGCAGUGUGCCAGCCGUAGCAGCCAUUUGGAGAGUGAACCAAUGGAAGGAAGACCUUUCUCUCUGUCUCUCUCUCUCACUGUCUAACCCUGCCUGUCAAAAAAAAAAAAAAAAAAAA
rnacentral:lncRNA from 1 species